AGAGUUUGAUCCUGGCUCAGAAUGAACGUUGGCGGCGUGGAUUAGGCAUGCAAGUCGAACGGACCGUGGUAGCAAUAUUACGGUUAGUGGCGCAAGGGAGAGUAAUACGUAGGUAUUUACCCUGGGGUCUGGGAUAGCGGCGGGAAACUGCCGGUAAUACCAGAUGAUAUCUCCGGAUCAAAGGUGUGAUUCCGCCCUAGGAGAAGCCUGCGGUCUAUCAGCUAGUUGGUAGGGUAACGGCCUACCAAGGCAAAGACGGAUAUGGGGCGUGAGAGCGUGCCCCCACUCACUGGGACUGAGACACUGCCCAGACACCUACGGGUGGCUGCAGUCGAGAAUCUUCGGCAAUGGGCGCAAGCCUGACCGAGCGACGCCGCGUGCGGGAUGAAGGCCUUCGGGUUGUAAACCGCUGUCGAAGGGGAGGAAAUUGUAGUGGGUUCACCCAUUAUAUUGACCGAUCCUUGGAGGAAGGGCCGGCUAAUCUCGUGCCAGCAGCCGCGGUAAUACGAGAGGCCCAAACGUUAUUCGGAUUUACUGGGCUUAAAGAGUUCGUAGGCGGUUCGGUAAGUGAGGUGUGAAAGCCCUCGGCUCAACCGAGGAAUUGCGCUUCAAACUGCCGGGCUCGAGGGAGAUAGAGGUGAGCGGAACUGAUGGUGGAGCGGUGAAAUGCGUUGAUAUCAUCAGGAACACCAGAGGCGAAGGCGGCUCACUGGGUCUCUACUGACGCUGAGGAACGAAAGCCAGGGGAGCAAACGGGAUUAGAUACCCCGGUAGU
rnacentral:rRNA from 1 species